GACGAACGCUGGCGGCGUGCUUAACACAUGCAAGUCGAACGGAAAGGUCCUGCGUUUGUGGCUUGCUCGUUUGGCGAACACGGGUGUAACACGUGAGUGAACUGCCCUUAUCUUUCUGGUAACUUUACGAAACUCGGGAUAAUACCGGGGAUGAUCUCCUGCUCCGUGGUGGGGGUUGGAAAGUCUGGGCUGUUCGGUAUGUACUCGCGGCUUAUCAGCUUGUUUGUGGGGUAGAGGCUUACAAAGCCUUUGAAGGAUAGCCGGCCUGGGAGGUGUACCGGCGACAUGGGGACUGCGAUAGGGAGCAGACUCCUACGGGAGGCAGUAGUGGGGAAUCUUGCACAAUGGGGGGAAGUGAGAUGCAGCAACGCCGCGUGCGGGAUGACGGCCUUCGGGGUGUAAACCGCCUUGGAAUGUGAUGAAGCGUGAGUGACGGUAAUGGGUAAAGAAGCAACGGCUAACUACGUG
rnacentral:rRNA from 1 species